rnacentral:rRNA from 1 species
UACCAGCUCUCCGAGUGGUGUGGAUGUUUAUUGGGCCUAAAGCAUCCGUAGCUGGCUGGGCGAGUCCCCUGUUAAAUCCACCGAUUUAAUCGUUGGAGUGCGGGGGAUACUGCUCGGCUAGGGGGCGGGAGAGGCAGACGGUAUUUUCGGGGUAGGGGUGAAAUCCUAUAAUCCCGAGAAGACCACCAGUGGCGAAGGCUGUCUGCUAGAACGUGCCCGACGGUGGGGGAUGAAAGCUGGGGGAGCGAACCGGAUUAGAUACCCGGGUAGUCCCAGCUGUAAACGAUGCAGGCUAGGUGUUUGGACGGCCACGUGCCGUUCUAGUGCCGCAGGGAAGCCGUUAAGCCUGCCGCCGGGGGAGUACGGCCGCAAGGCUGAAACUUAAAGGAAUUGGCGGGGGAGCACCACAAGGGUGAAGCUUGCGGUUU